rnacentral:rRNA from 1 species
GACGAACGCUGGCGGCGUGCCUAAUACAUGCAAGUCGAACGAAGCUUUUUUAACUGGUGCUUGCACCGACUUAAACAACUGAGUGGCGAACGGGUGAGUAACACGUGGGUAACCUGCCCCAAAGCGGGGGAUAACAUUUGGAAACAGAUGCUAAUACCGCAUAACCACAGAAACCACAUGGUUUCUGUGUCAAAGAUGGUUUCGGCUAUCACUUUGGGAUGGACCCGCGGCGUAUUAGCUAGUUGGUAAGGUAAUGGCUUACAAAGGCAAUGAUACGUAGGCGAACUGAGAGGUUGAUCGGCCACAUUGGGACUGAGACACGGCCCAAACUCCUACGGGAGGCAGCAGUAGGGAAUCUUCCACAAUGGACGAAAGUCUGAAGGAGCAACGCCGCGUGAGUGAAGAAGGUUUUCGGAUCGUAAAACUCUGUUGUCAGAGAAGAACGUGUGCGAGAGUAACUGUUCGUGCAGUGACGGUAUCUGGCCAGAAAGCCACGGCUAACUACGUGCCAGCCGCCGCAGUAA